CCUACGGGGGGCUGCAGUGGGGAAUAUUGCACAAUGGGGGAAACCCUGAUGCAGCGACGCCGCGUGAGUGAAGAAGUAUUUCGGUAUGUAAAGCUCUAUCAGCAGGGAAGAUAAUGACGGUACCUGACUAAGAAGCCCCGGCUAACUACGUGCCAGCAGCCGCGGUAAUACGUAGGGGGCAAGCGUUAUCCGGAUUUACUGGGUGUAAAGGGUGCGUAGGUGGCAGGGCAAGUCAGAUGUGAAAGCCCGGGGCUCAACCCCGGUACUGCAUUUGAAACUGUCCAGCUGGAGUGCAGGAGAGGUAAGCGGAAUUCCUAGUGUAGCGGUGAAAUGCGUAGAUAUCGAGAGGAACACUCGUGGCGAAGGCGGGUUCCUGGACAUUAACUGACGCUGAGGCACGAAGGCCAGGGGAGCGAAAGGGAUUAGAUACCCGAGUAGUC
rnacentral:rRNA from 1 species